UUUGCUAUUUAUUAAGAAAACUACAAGGAAAAUCAAAAAAUUACCCAACUAUAACUAACUAUGGAUAAAAAUGUAUAUUACAAGAAAGUUUCUUGCUGUAUAAUUUUUGAUUGGAGCAAGACGUCUGGUAAAAAAAUUGUUUACAGACACAAAAAAAAAAACAUGAUAUUUAAAACCAAUACUGACUUGCUUUGCUCAGAAUCUAAAAUAUAUGACUCG